CCAAACACCACCCCAUCGAUUGCAGCCCAGUCCCGCCAGAACCGCGAGAUCCGAUCCGACCACCGCCAGCAGCAGAUUCGGCGCCACGGCGACGGAGCUCGCCUCUGUCCUCCUCCCCGCCCGCCGUCUCCUCCCGCGGAGGCUGGUUUCAUCCUCCAGGUGCGCGAGCGCUCUCUGUUCGUGAAAUCUUUCUCCCUGCUCGAUCCAUGCCCGGGAGGUGCUCGUCCUUGCCCGCAAGAUCCGUCCGGAGCAGGAUUCCUCUGUGAUCCGGCGCGUCUCGGCCUUCCUCCCCGGAGCCAAGAUCCGGGAUUCCCUUUUCGGUUUCUCUUUCUCGAGCGAGCGCGCGUUCCGCCGGAGCGCCGGGCAUGGCGUACGCGUCGCCGUACGUGCUCUCGUUCCUGCUGCUGCUGUCCAUGCCGGCGGUGUACUACCUCGGCCCGCGCCUGCUGCUGCCCAGGACGCUCCCGGCCAUCCCGGACGCGGACGAGACGGAGGACCUCGCGCUCUUCCGCCGCGCCGUGCUCCUCUCGGCCGCGCCCUCCGCCGGCGCCGGCGCGGCGGCCUCCUCCUUCGGCGUGUUCGGCCGCCGCCCGCAGGCGCCGCGGCCCAAGGUGGCCUUCCUCUUCCUCACCAACUCCGACCUCGUCUUCGCGCCGCUCUGGGAGAAGUUCUUCGCGGGGCACCACGGCCUGCUCAACCUCUACGUCCACGCCGACCCCGCCGCCAACCUCACGCUGCCGCCGACCCCGUCCUUCCGCGGCCGCGUCAUCCGGGGCAAGGCCACGGCGCGCGCCUCCGCCACGCUCAUCUCCGCGGCGCGCCGCCUCCUCGCCACCGCGCUCCUCGACGACCCGGCCAACCGCUUCUUCGCGCUGCUCUCCCAGUCCUGCGUCCCGCUCCUCCCGUUCCCCGCCCUCUACCGCACCCUCCUCACCGACAACAAUGCCGCCGGCGCCGGCCGCCACCGCCGCCACCGCAGCUUCAUCGAGAUCCUGGACAGCGAGCCCACGCUGCACGCCCGCUACUACGCGCGCGGCGACAACGUGAUGCUCCCGGAGGUGCCCUUCGACCGCUUCCGCGUCGGCUCCCAGUUCUUCGUGCUCGCCAGGCGGCACGCCGUCAUGGUGGUCCGGGACCGGCGGCUCUGGAACAAGUUCAAGGCGCCGUGCCUCGUCAAGGAGAAGGACUCGUGCUACCCGGAGGAGCACUACUUCCCGACGCUGCUCGACAUGCAGGACCCCGACGGCUGCACCAAGUACACCCUCACCAGGGUCAACUGGACCGACGCCGUCGGCGGCCACCCGCACACCUACCAGCCGGAGGAGGUCUCCGGGGACCUCAUCAGGGAGCUCAGGAAGUCCAACGGCACCUACUCCCACAUGUUCGCGCGCAAGUUCGCGCCCGAGACCCUUGCGCCGCUCAUGGAGAUCGCCGACUCCGUCAUCCUCCGUGACUAGGCGCGAAGUGUUCGUGGAGAUGAACAGAACAAGGGUUGGUGAUGUGAUGAAGAAGCACAAGCUGAUCCAUCCAUCCCCUUUGUGGUUUCUUCGGAGAGGAGCAAGCAACCAGCACCAAACCCACUUCGCCUUGUUGUUCCGUCGCUGGCCGUCGGCGAAGGGGAUGCUGCUGCUUGCCCAGGCUCAGAGAGUGAUGUGGUGUUGGUGGCGAAGUGCCCCGGCUGCCUCUAUCCUAUGAGCACAUGCUCUCGGGAGCCAAAUGGAAUUUUGUCAUGGUGGAAUUUCAGACAAAGCCUUAUUUUGCAUCAAGCAUAAAGACGGACGUGUAGUUUUUGCACCCGAGCUCAAAUGAGCUCAGUUGAACAUUAGAAUAAAAAAAGUUUAAAAAUGAAUUUUUUAUGCCGAACUUUGACAAAUGUUCUAAGAGCUUGUAAAGUUUCAUCAGGAGAUCACAUUUGUGGAAGUCGUGAGAAAAAAAACAAAAUCGGUACUCUUAAAAUGCUACUUUCGAAAGAAUGAGCACUGAUUUUGGUUUUUUGCCACAACUUCAACAAAUGUGAUCUCCUAAUGAAAUUUUGCAAGCUCUUAAAACAUUUGUCAAAGUUUCCCAUGAAAAAAAUUCAGAUCUUUUUUAACAUUAAAAAAAUCGAGUUACUGUUCAUUCCGAGCUAAUUUGAGCUCGGGUGUAGAAAGGGGCUUUCGAGGAAAGACAGAGUUAAGUAUUCCAACA